GACGAACGCUGGCGGCGUGCCUAAUACAUGCAAGUAGAACGCUGAAGAGAGGAGCUUGCUCUUCUUGGAUGAGUUGCGAACGGGUGAGUAACGCGUAGGUAACCUGCCUUGUAGCGGGGGAUAACUAUUGGAAACGAUAGCUAAUACCGCAUAACAAUGGAUGACACAUGUCAUUUAUUUGAAAGGGGCAAUUGCUCCACUACAAGAUGGACCUGCGUUGUAUUAGCUAGUAGGUGAGGUAAUGGCUCACCUAGGCGACGAUACAUAGCCGACCUGAGAGGGUGAUCGGCCACACUGAGACUGAGACACGGCCCAGACUCCUACGGGAGGCAGCAGUAGGGAAUCUUCGGCAAUGGGGGCAACCCUGACCGAGCAACGCCGCGUGAGUGAAGAAGGUUGUCGGAUCGUAAAGCUCUGUUGUAAGUCAAGAACGGGUGUGAGAGUGGAAAGUUCACACUGUGACGGUAGCUUACCAGAAAGGGACGGCUAACUACGUG
rnacentral:rRNA from 1 species